rnacentral:rRNA from 1 species
CAGUCGCCGCGGGAAUACGUAGGGCGCAAGCGUUAUCCGGAAUUAUUGGGCGUAAAGAGCUCGUAGGCGGUUUGUCGCGUCUGCCGUGAAAGUCCGGGGCUCAACCCCGGAUCUGCGGUGGGUACGGGCAGACUAGAGUGAUGUAGGGGAGACUGGAAUUCCUGGUGUAGCGGUGAAAUGCGCAGAUAUCAGGAGGAACACCGAUGGCGAAGGCAGGUCUCUGGGCAUUAACUGACGCUGAGGAGCGAAAGCAUGGGGAGCGAACAGGAUUAGAUACCCGAGUAGUCCCUGUCUCUUAUAC